UAUUUACAUGUGAUUCCUUUUUUAAAUGGCCAUCAUGGGUAUAGGGCGUAUUCACCCACGUGACCCCUAUCCAUAACAACAAGCUUUGGCGGCCAUCUUGGGGUCCAUGUACGGCAUUGUUUUGCUGUGUUUUAUUUCGCUCUGACCAUCAUAUUCUGAAGGAGACACAAUUUCAGUGCCUUGUAAUUAUGGUACUGUGCCUCAUUGUUGGAUGUGGGACUAGGACGGGUAAAGCGCACACACACCGCGAAAAGGUUAGGUUAUUUCGCGUCCCGCGUGUGAUAACUAACCAGGGGGAACAUGUGGAUAGACUAACAUCUACUCGGCGCAGACAAUGGAUUUCUGCCAUAAUUAGAGCGAAUCUGACAGCGGAGAAGUUGGAGAAUGAACGUGUGUGUGGUAGCUUCAAAAGUUCUUGCUGCUCCUGAGGAACAAGACAACGCUACUACUGGUACCAAAGAAACAUGGACAACUUCACAUCAUCCAGAAAACCAGACUCCAUCCAGUUGUACGGAACUCACAGGGCAUGGGGGGACGUACAUCUGACAAGCACCUUACAGCAAACUGCAGUCUGUUGGAAAGACUGAAACCUGGUAACUUAGUCAUGGCUGAUCGUGGUUUCACAAUUUAAGAGAGCCUUGCCCUACGCCAAGUGAAACUGGCCAUUCCUACAUUCACUCGUGGUAGCAAACAGCUUGACCCAGUUGAAAUUGAGCACACAAGAGGAAUUGCCAAUGUGAGGAUACAUGUUUAACGUGUGAUUGGACAGUUGAAACAGAAGUACAAGAUGUUACAGGAAACCUUGGAGAUUGAUUAUGUCAGCCUUACUGGUGGUUCCACAGAACCGAUGGUAGACAGAAUUAUCAGAGUAUGUGCUGUGUUAACAAACAUGUGCCCAUCAGUUGUACCCUUAACUUGAAUUGCAGAUGUCUCAACCAUUACAUGAUAAGGACACUGUUUUUUAUUUGAUA